rnacentral:rRNA from 1 species
AGAGUUUGAUCCUGGCUCAGAGCGAACGCUGGCGGCAGGCUUAACACAUGCAAGUCGAACGGGCACCUUCGGGUGUCAGUGGCAGACGGGUGAGUAACACGUGGGAACGUGCCCUUCGGUUCGGAACAACUCAGGGAAACUUGAGCUAAUACCGGAUACGCCCUUCGGGGGAAAGAUUUAUCGCUGAAGGAUCGGCCCGCGUCUGAUUAGCUAGUUGGUGAGGUAAUGGCUCACCAAGGCGACGAUCAGUAGCUGGUCUGAGAGGAUGAUCAGCCACACUGGGACUGAGACACGGCCCAGACUCCUACGGGAGGCAGCAGUGGGGAAUAUUGGACAAUGGGUGCAAGCCUGAUCCAGCCAUGCCGCGUGAGUGAUGAAGGCCUUAGGGUUGUAAAGCUCUUUCGUCCGGGACGAUAAUGACGGUACCGGAAGAAGAAGCCCCGGCUAACUUCGUG